rnacentral:rRNA from 1 species
CUUACCAUGCAGUCGAACGAUGAAGCCCAGCUUGCUGGGUGGAUUAGUGGCGAACGGGUGAGUAACACGUGAGUAACCUGCCCUUGACUCUGGGAUAAGCCUGGGAAACUGGGUCUAAUACCGGAUAGGAACGUCCACCGCAUGGUGGGUGUUGGAAAGAUUUAUCGGUCAUGGAUGGACUCGCGGCCUAUCAGCUUGUUGGUGAGGUAAUGGCUCACCAAGGCGACGACGGGUAGCCGGCCUGAGAGGGUGACCGGCCACACUGGGACUGAGACACGGCCCAGACUCCUACGGGAGGCAGCAGUGGGGAAUAUUGCACAAUGGGCGAAAGCCUGAUGCAGCGACGCCGCGUGAGGGAUGACGGCCUUCGGGUUGUAAACCUCUUUCAGUAGGGAAGAAGCGAAAGUGACGGUACCUGCAGAAGAAGCACCGGCUAACUACGUGCCAGCAGCCGCGGUAAUACGUAGGGUGCGAGCGUUAUCCGGAAUUAUUGGGCGUAAAGAGCUCGUAGGCGGUUUGUCGCGUCUGUCGUGAAAGUCCGGGGCUUAACCCCGGAUCUGCGGUGGGUACGGGCAGACUAGAGUGCAGUAGGGGAGACUGGAAUUCCUGGUGUAGCGGUGGAAUGCGCAGAUAUCAGGAGGAACACCGAUGGCGAAGGCAGGUCUCUGGGCUGUAACUGACGCUGAGGAGCGAAAGCAUGGGGAGCGAACAGGAUUAGAUACCCUGGUAGUCCAUGCCGUAAACGUUGGGCACUAGGUGUGGGGACCAUUCCACGGUUUCCGCGCCGCAGCUAACGCAUUAAGUGCCCCGCCUGGGGAGUACGGCCGCAAGGCUAAAACUCAAAGGAAUUGACGGGGGCCCGCACAAGCGGCGGAGCAUGCGGAUUAAUUCGAUGCAACGCGAAGAACCUUACCAAGGCUUGACAUGUUCUCGAUCGCCGUAGAGAUACGGUUUCCCCUUUGGGGCGGGAUCACAGGUGGUGCAUGGUUGUCGUCAGCUCGUGUCGUGAGAUGUUGGGUUAAGUCCCGCAACGAGCGCAACCCUCGUUCCAUGUUGCCAGCACGUCAUGGUGGGGACUCAUGGGAGACUGCCGGGGUCAACUCGGAGGAAGGUGGGGACGACGUCAAAUCAUCAUGCCCCUUAUGUCUUGGGCUUCACGCAUGCUACAAUGGCCGGUACAAUGGGUUGCGAUACUGUGAGGUGGAGCUAAUCCCAAAAAGCCGGUCUCAGUUCGGAUUGGGGUCUGCAACUCGACCCCAUGAAGUCGGAGUCGCUAGUAAUCGCAGAUCAGCAACGCUGCGGUGAAUACGUUCCCGGGCCUUGUACACACCGCCCGUCAAGUCACGAAAGUCGGUAACACCCGAAGCCGGUGGCCUAACCCUUGUGGGGAGCCGUCGAAGUGACAGCAGGUCGUUU